AAGUCGUAACAAGGUUUCCGUAGGUGAACCUGCGGAAGGAUCAUUAUUGAAUAAAUAUAAUUUUGGGAGGGUUGUAGCUGGCUCUCUUAUUGAGAGUAAUGUGCACACCUUUCAAAUUAGUUAUCUCCAACCCACCUGUGUGCACUCCUUGUAGAUGCUGGAUAACAGACAACUCUUUGAAUUGUUUCUAUUGAGGGUUUGCUGUCAAUCAAGGCUGCCUUUGCUGGUUCCGGCAUCUAUGUAUUUUUAUAUACACCUAAUUUUUAGUCUUUGAAUGUGUUAUCAAAUGGCAGCAAUGUCUUUUGUUAUAAUAUUAAUACAACUUUCAACAACGGAUCUCUUGGCUCUC
rnacentral:misc_RNA from 1 species